AGAUUCUGAGUGUAUCUGUCAGCUUAAGAGGUAAGAAAUGAGAAGUAACAAGCACAUUUUUUCAACUCCGCUCGCUGCAUCAACUUCAGCUGCCUGCUGACCCACCAUCCUAACUGGAUUUGAUCGCCAGUUUUGGGCGGUGAAGAGAGCUAAUUGACGUGAGGAGGAAGAUACGAACUCAGAACCUGGAUUUCGCACCUAUACUGAAGAUAAAAAAAAUUGAUGAAACACAGUCCCUGCCCUGAAGAAACUUCAAGCAUAGUAAGACUCAAAAAAGUCAGAGUCUCCACAACGGUUGCAGUGAAGCAAGCAGUGUCCUGAGUAUAGUUGCAGG